GCAGUCGAACGAUGAACCACUUCGGUGGGGAUUAGUGGCGAACGGGUGAGUAACACGUGGGCAAUCUGCCCUGCACUCUGGGACAAGCCCUGGAAACGGGGUCUAAUACCGGAUACUGAUCCGCCUGGGCAUCCAGGCGGUUCGAAAGCUCCGGCGGUGCAGGAUGAGCCCGCGGCCUAUCAGCUUGUUGGUGAGGUAACGGCUCACCAAGGCGACGACGGGUAGCCGGCCUGAGAGGGCGACCGGCCACACUGGGACUGAGACACGGCCCAGACUCCUACGGGAGGCAGCAGUGGGGAAUAUUGCACAAUGGGCGCAAGCCUGAUGCAGCGACGCCGCGUGAGGGAUGACGGCCUUCGGGUUGUAAACCUCUUUCAGCAGGGAAGAAGCGCAAGUGACGGUACCUGCAGAAGAAGCGCCGGCUAACUACGUGCCAGCAGCCGCGGUAAUACGUAGGGCGCGAGCGUUGUCCGGAAUUAUUGGGCGUAAAGAGCUCGUAGGCGGCUUGUCGCGUCGGUUGUGAAAGCCCGGGGCUUAACCCCGGGUCUGCAGUCGAUACGGGCAGGCUAGAGUUCGGUAGGGGAGAUCGGAAUUCCUGGUGUAGCGGUGAAAUGCGCAGAUAUCAGGAGGAACACCGGUGGCGAAGGCGGAUCUCUGGGCCGAUACUGACGCUGAGGAGCGAAAGCGUGGGGAGCGAACAGGAUUAGAUACCCUGGUAGUCCACGCCGUAAACGGUGGGCACUAGGUGUGGGCGACAUUCCACGUCGUCCGUGCCGCAGCUAACGCAUUAAGUGCCCCGCCUGGGGAGUACGGCCGCAAGGCUAAAACUCAAAGGAAUUGAC
rnacentral:rRNA from 1 species